rnacentral:rRNA from 1 species
AUUGAACGCUGGCGGCAUGCCUUACACAUGCAAGUCGAACGGCAGCACGGGUGCUUGCACCUGGUGGCGAGUGGCGAACGGGUGAGUAAUACAUCGGAACGUGUCCUGUAGUGGGGGAUAGCCCGGCGAAAGCCGGAUUAAUACCGCAUACGAUCUACGGAUGAAAGCGGGGGACCUUCGGGCCUCGCGCUAUAGGGUUGGCCGAUGGCUGAUUAGCUAGUUGGUGGGGUAAAGGCCUACCAAGGCGACGAUCAGUAGCUGGUCUGAGAGGACGACCAGCCACACUGGGACUGAGACACGGCCCAGACUCCUACGGGAGGCAGCAGUGGGGAAUUUUGGACGAUGGGCGAAAGCCUGAUCCAGCAAUGCCGCGUGUGUGAAGAAGGCCGUCGGGUUGUAAAGCACUUUUGUCCGGAAAGAAAUCCUUGGCCCUAAUACGGUCGGGGGAUGACGGUACCGGAAGAAUAUGCACCGGCUAACUACG